AACGAACGCUGGCGGCGUGCCUAACACAUGCAAGUCGAACGUGAUUGGAAGCUUGCUUCCAUGAAAGUGGCGCACGGGUGAGUAACGCGUAGAUAAUCUACCUGAUGAUCCGGGAUAACAGUUCGAAAGGACUGCUAAUACCUGAUAAGCUCACGGAGUCUUCGGAUUCUGCGGGAAAAGGAGGGGACCUUUGGGCCUUCCGUCAUCAGAUGAGUCUGCGUACCAUUAGCUAGUUGGUAGGGUAAAGGCCUACCAAGGCGACGAUGGUCAGCUGGUCUGAGAGGAUUAUCAGCCACACUGGAACUGAGACACGGUCCAGACUCCUACGGGAGGCAGCAGUGGGGAAUUUUGCGCAAUGGGGGAAACCCUGACGCAGCAACGCCGCGUGAGUGAUGAAGGCCCUUGGGUCGUAAAGCUCUGACAGAGGGAAAGAAAUGUAGAGGGGCUAAUAUCCCCAUUACUUGACGGUACCCUCAAAGGAAGCACCGGCUAACUCCGUG
rnacentral:rRNA from 1 species